rfam:Streptococcus agalactiae LMG 14747 ctg7180000010244, whole genome shotgun sequence.
AAUGUGAGUUUCGUCGCUUUUCAUUAUAGAUCAUAUGGGGCUUUUUUCUACCCUUAAAAAGGCUCCAUAAUCUCCAUAGGGGAUUUACCCACUACAGUCUUAUAGAGCC